rnacentral:rRNA from 1 species
GAUGAACGCUGGCGGCGUGCUUAACACAUGCAAGUCGAACGAAGCACUUAAGAUUGAUUCUUCGGAUGACGUCUUUUGUGACUUAGUGGCGGACGGGUGAGUAACGCGUGGGUAACCUGCCUCACACAGGGGGAUAACAGUUAGAAAUGACUGCUAAUACCGCAUAACCCGAUAGGAUCGCAUGAUCCAGACGGAAAAGAUUUAUCGGUGUGAGAUGGACCCGCGUCUGAUUAGCUAGUUGGUGAGGUAACGGCCCACCAAGGCGACGAUCAGUAGCCGGCCUGAGAGGGUGAACGGCCACAUUGGGACUGAGACACGGCCCAAACUCCUACGGGAGGCAGCAGUGGGGAAUAUUGCACAAUGGGGGAAACCCUGAUGCAGCGACGCCGCGUGAGUGAAGAAGUAUUUCAGUAUGUAAAGCUCUAUCAGCAGGGAAGAAAAUGACGGUACCUGACUAAGAAGCCCCGGCUAACUACGUG